rnacentral:rRNA from 1 species
UACAGAGGGUGCAAGCGUUGUUCGGAAUUAUUGGGCGUAAAGGGCAGGUAGGUGGUCUAGAAAGUCUGCUGUGAAAUCCCAGGGCUCAACCCUGGACGUGCAGUGGAUACUCUUAGACUUUGAGUGCCGGAGGGGUUCGCGGAAUUCCCAGUGUAGCGGUGAAAUGCGUAGAUAUUGGGAGGAACACCAGAGGCGAAGGCGGCGAACUGGACGGUCACUGACACUCAACUGCGAAAGCGUGGGGAUCAAACAGG